rnacentral:rRNA from 1 species
UACGAAGGGUGCAAGCGUUACUCGGAAUUACUGGGCGUAAAGCGUGCGUAGGUGGUUUGUUAAGUCUGAUGUGAAAGCCCUGGGCUCAACCUGGGAACUGCAUUGGAAACUGGCUUACUAGAGUGCGGUAGAGGGGUGUGGAAUUCCUGGUGUAGCGGUGGAAUGCGCAGAUAUCAGGAAGAACACCCGUGGCGAAGGCGGCUCUCUGGAACGCAACUGACGCUGAGACGCGAAAGCGUGGGGAGCAAACAGG